GUCUACGGCCAUGCCACCCCGAACGUGCCCGAUCCCGUCCGAUCUCGGAAGCUAAGCAGGGUCGGGCCUGGUUAGUACUUGGAUGGGAGACCGCCUAGGAAGACCAGGUGCUGUGGGCC
rnacentral:rRNA from 1 species